AACGUAGGAGACAAACGUUAUCCGGAGUUACUGGGCGUAAAGGGCGUGUAGGUGGUUUCGUAAGUCUGGCGUGAAAUUUUUCGGCUUAACCGGGAAAGGUCGUCGGAUACUGCGGAACUAGAGGACGGUAGAGGCGUGUGGAAUUUCGGGUGUAGUGGUGAAAUGCGUAGAGAUCCGGAGGAACACCAGUGGCGAAGGCGACACGCUGGGCCGUACCUGACACUGAUGCGCGACAGCAUGGGGAGCAAACAGG
rnacentral:rRNA from 1 species